rnacentral:rRNA from 1 species
GAUGAACGCUGGCGGCGUGCCUAAUACAUGCAAGUCGAGCGAACAGACGAUGAGCUUGCUCCUCUGACGUUAGCGGCGGACGGGUGAGUAACACGUGGAUAACCUAGCUAUAAGACUGGGAUAACUUCGGGAAACCGGAGCUAAUACCGGAUAAUAUAUUGAACCGCAUGGUUCAAUAGUGAAAGACGGUUUUGCUGUCACUUAUAGAUGGAUCCGCGCCGCAUUAGCUAGUUGGUAAGGUAACGGCUUACCAAGGCGACGAUGCGUAGCCGACCUGAGAGGGUGAUCGGCCACACUGGAACUGAGACACGGUCCAGACUCCUACGGGAGGCAGCAGUAGGGAAUCUUCCGCAAUGGGCGAAAGCUUGACGGAGCAACGCCGCGUGAGUGAUGAAGGUCUUCGGAUCGUAAAACUCUGUUAUUAGGGAAGAACAAAUGUGUAAGUAACUAUGCACGUCUUGACGGUACCUAAUCAGAAAGCCACGGCUAACUACGUG